GAAACAUUGAAGAGCUCUGGAGAGUGGUCGACUUGUGCCUUGCUGAAGUCCACAGUCAUCUCUUUUGUCUAGUCCGUGUCGGGACUCAGGCAGCCAUGAAAACAAAGAAACAUCAUGAAACCCAUUCAAUGAAAACAACAAAUAUCCAACAUGCAAAAAAAAAGAACAUUUCGCUCAAACUGCGAAAGUGGGCAAAUAAACCUGUUCUUUUCCUUUUUCUGGAGCAUUAAGGCAAGGCACCUCGACAUCCCACACCUCCAAUCUCACCUCAUGGAUUGGAACAUCUGACUCUAAAUAACUUUUGUAGAAGGCAUUACCCC